CUUCAUCACUGCCUUCUUGGCGAUGAGAGUCUCCAGCAGCUUCUGCACGUCAGGGUGGAUGAAUGUGCACUCACCUGCCUCCGUCUGCUGGGGUGUGGGGUCUCCCCAGAAGGAAGGCUCUGGGGGGUGGUCGGGAAGAUGCCGCUGCUGGAAUUUGCCAUGUGAGCAGGUGGAGAGGCCCCACGUGGUGGCAGCCUCCUUCCACCAGGAGAGAUCCCCGGUGGGCUCGCUGGAGCACCCAAGGCCAGAGAUCACCGUGGUUGGAGCCGGCGGCCGCUGCUGGCCGAGGAAACAACUCCUGAGACUCACUGCCACCGCCACCAGCGUCAUUCUUCUGGCGAUGCCCCCCGCCUGGCAUUGUGAAACUCCAGCUGGUCUUCCUGAGCCUGCAGGGUAUCUAUGAAGUGAGGAUGUGUCAGGGGCUGUGAGCCAGGAGUUAAUGGGCCUCCAACCCUCCAGGAGCCAGAGAAGAGUCCAGAGACCAGGAAACAACAGGACCUGGGCUCACUCAGCCUGCCCAUGGGGACCAUCUGCGGGAAAAUGACCCUGGCCAUGUGGAAGGUCAUCUUGCUUGUCAGUCAGACCUGCUGUGCCAGAAGAUAUCCAGAAAUGAAUGGGCAAAGCUGGGGUUAAUCACAGAGAAGAAAAGAUGUGAUGAAGUGCAGACAUGAAUUAGGGCCGGGCAGUUACAAAUACUCUGGACACCAGGCUUCUAGCAAAGCAGUCCUUUUCUAUUUAGCUGUCAUAUCUUCAUCCAGUAGCAAGUCAGUCUGAAAGGGGCAGACCUCAAUGGACACGGGCUUGCCUGCAGGCCCCUGAAGGGAGGAUCCCAGCUGGCUAGCUUAGGCUAGAAUCUCCUAGGCCAUAUCAAUCGCCCUGGGGGCCAAAUUGCAAAAUCCAACAGCGUCAGAGGUGCAAAGUCUGCCUGCCUUUGCCUUUCUCAGAAAGAGUCAAUAAGCAGUCAGGGGGCAGUGUGGGGAGAGGGUAGGCAGAUAACAAGCAGAGCUGUACACCAGACAAUUGGUUAAGGUGAGGUCCCAAAGUCAAAAGUGACCUGGAAGCAGACAAGAAGCCAGGAGGAUGAAGAGGUGGAACCGAUGACCAUAGGUGGCAGAAAGUGUCAUUCCUUGAAGAAGACCCUGGUCCAGGAUAAGUCUGCAUAGAUGCCUGGGCCUCGCCUCCACAUGGUUCCUGCCUGAGGAUGCCCCACAGCCAGGCGCAGCAUGUUAGAGCCACAGGCUUUUGCCAGACACUCAGACUACAGAAAUACAUGGGGCUCCUCCCGGAAGAGAACUAAGCCUCAAACAGGGCUUGUGGGACUCGGAGCACUACACAGAGAUAAACAGGUGAAGUCCGCAGGAUUAACUUAGAGUGGGGCGGGGCAUGGGAAAUAAGGAGUAGAG
rnacentral:lncRNA from 13 species